AACGAACGCUGGCGGCAGGCUUAACACAUGCAAGUCGAGCGCCCCGCAAGGGGAGCGGCAGACGGGUGAGUAACGCGUGGGAAUCUACCUUUUGCUACGGAAUAACGCAGGGAAACUUGUGCUAAUACCGUAUGUGUCCUUCGGGAGAAAGAUUUAUCGGCAAGAGAUGAGCCCGCGUUGGAUUAGCUAGUUGGUGGGGUAAAGGCCUACCAAGGCGACGAUCCAUAGCUGGUCUGAGAGGAUGAUCAGCCACAUUGGGACUGAGACACGGCCCAAACUCCUACGGGAGGCAGCAGUGGGGAAUAUUGGACAAUGGGCGCAAGCCUGAUCCAGCCAUGCCGCGUGAGUGAUGAAGGCCCUAGGGUUGUAAAGCUCUUUCACCGGAGAAGAUAAUGACGGUAUCCGGAGAAGAAGCCCCGGCUAACUUCGUGCCAGCAGCCGCGGAAGGGCGAA
rnacentral:rRNA from 2 species